rnacentral:lncRNA from 1 species
UGGAAUCCUACCAGUCAAUGGAUAAUAAAAGACAAGUGUAAAUGGAUAAUCAUCGCCCAACUGCUCCCUCGGUGCUCCAAUCCAGGCCUCCUCUGGAUCCUCCAGGAAACUAGAAUUGAAUCGCCGGAGGACUGCUCCUUCUUCCUAGUGAGCCCCUCUCUUCGGAUGGCCUCUGAUCUCAACUACGUUAACACCACCUCUAGUAGCAGUGUAAGGGAUUCGUUCGAUAUCUAAGGAGAAGUAUUUUUUUCUUCUUCUUCAUCUAUUCAUCUGCUUCCUUCUUCGUUGAAUUAUAUUUGUUUUUUUUAUUUUUCUCUCUAUUAUUAAAUUACUAAUUCUCCUAUCUGGGUUUCUUGAUUUUCCUUUUUUGAAAAUUUUUAGGUUUUUUCAUGAAUGAUUGCUUAUUACAAAUUUAAUUAUAAAAUUUUGUGAGUUCUUUUUUUCCGUUGGAUUGAAUAACAGAAAAAGAAAAACCUUUCUGUUUUGGGCUUGUGGUUACUGCUUUGGAUUUUGAUUGUAACACUUUGUUGGUGAAUAUUCAUUAAAGAAAACAAAAAUCAGAUCUUUUUUAGCCAUGGAUUUUGCUAAGUCAGAUCAAAGAUUUCCUUCUUUUUUUCAUGCUCUGUUUCAUCGCCCAAAAAAUACUGUCUAAUUCACCGAAAUGUUCGCCUCUGUUUUCUUUUCCUUGUUUCUGUUUUUGAGAAAACAAGAGACAAACAUGGGAGAAGAAAAUCAAAAUAGAAGCAGAAAUAGAAGCAGCAGUAGCUGUAAUAGCAUAGCAAUGGAGAGCCUCUCUUUGGAAAUAAACAAAUACCUAAAAGAUGAAGAAGAAAAAAAAAAAAGAACAGAUGAAGAAAGCGACGUGGGAGAAUGGAAAAAAGUUGAAUUAGAAAUGAAGGACUUGAGAUUUGUGAAUCUCGUGCAUAGACUUCAAGUCUUUAAUGAUGCGACAAAAUAAUUUAAUUUUUAAAUUUUUAUUUAUGGGUUUUGCUGCAAAAUUGUGUUGUAAUAUCGAAUUUCUCUGGUUGACAACCGUGGACCUUCAAUGCAUGGGAUGCUAGUGGAAUCGACAUGGCUGAUGAGUGAUGAACACUGAAUCCGAAUGGUAAGGGAAUACAGGGAAUGGUCAGGAAAUUUCAUUAAUCCGGGAGUUUAUGACAAGACGGAUCUCCUUCAGGCUUACCAGCUAUCUAUUAAUACGAGGAAAGAUGGUUCUAGAAGCCACAUGGACCUAUGAGAGCGAGCCCAAUGACACUAAAAUUAUACCAUCUGAUUAUGGUGAGAUGGUACACAGUAUAAUAUAAUAAAAUGGCACGUAAUAGCUUUUUCUCCAUGGAUUGCACGAGACGAGUCAAUAGGCCCCGCAUCAUUGACGUUAGUGGCUCUAAAAGCGAAUCCACGGUUACCCACGAAACCAAAACCUAAUUUUGAUAACUUAUAGCCAUCACUUUCAAUUUGGAGCUUCGUUUUUCUGUCAUGGGUACGUCUACCAGAAGAAGAG